UCCCCGUCCUUAUCUCAACCCUUGAGCCCUUUGCAUCGCAUUUUCUCCCCCUUUCUCUUUGAGGAGGGGGAGUGAGAGAGUGGCCGUGGUAGAACUCGGCUGCCCACCUGAUUAAAACCACCGCAGUUGCAAAGUACUGGAAAAUUUUUCAGAAGAAACAAGGUGUUUAUCAAGGAAAUAUAUAGUUUCCUUUUUAAGGCUUCCUGGAUAAUUGGGGUUAUUUCAUAUUCCCAACUCGGAGGAGGAGAAUUGUUGAUUUCACCUUGUUUUUUCUUACACGGAAAUAAAAGGUCAACAGCUCUGGAAGUAAGGGGAACGUAUCAGAAUCAAGCUCUUUUUGUCUGUAAUCCUUGCUUAAGGAAAAGAUUUAUCACACACCUUCCACAGAUGUAUGGCAGAGAGAAUAAUUUUUGAACUAAUCUAAUUAAAGUCAAUUUGGGGAUAGUGGUAUUUCUCUAAUUGUUUCUGAGACAUGCGCAUUAGCAACAGAGAGUGUUCUGUUGUCAUUGCAAGGGGCCUACUGUGAUGCCUUCAUAAACAGAAUGGAAUUAUGUCACCAUGGCAAUUUGGGAACAGCUGCCCCUGUACAAGUUUAGCUAGGAGGGACAGAGAAGUGUGCUGGAUGUGAUGAAACCACGUGAGGAUUUGUGGAUCCCACCUUGAGGUGCAUAGAGAGCGCCCAUGCCCUUCUAUACUUCUCUGUCCAUCGGUCUGUCCUGCCAACUCUGGUGUGAGUGUGAAGUUGUGGCAAGAGGGAUUUCCUAUUCCUAUUUGACCUGGUGGACACCAGCUUUCCUAGUAAAUUGCUGAUGUUGCUGAGGAGGCAGCAGUAUCAAAGCCCUUGUUGAGGAAGAUACAACAAGUCUGGGGAGGCUUUGGCAUUUCUGUACAAUGCUGCUCCCUGACUGUGACUCAAGACUCAGAUUCUGAGUGAAACAAAGCAAGCUAGAGGAGAACUGUAUGUCCUGUACCCAAAACUCCAUAUUAUAGCUGAUCUUCAUCUCUGAUCUUAAAAGCUUCACAGGCCAAAAGAGAACUGAGACGAAUGCUGAGGAAUAUUUCCAAUGACCACCCCAACCUAUGUCUUGGUUCUUCACAUCAAACCAGAGCAGUUUCUUUGCCUUCAGAACCUGCAGACUGACCUCUCGUGUG